CGCGGGGUGGAGCAGUCUGGUAGCUCGUCGGGCUCAUAACCCGAAGGUCACAGGUUCAAAUCCUGUCCCCGCAACCA
rnacentral:tRNA from 43 species